GACGAACGCUGGCGGCGUGCCUAAUACAUGCAAGUAGAACGCUGAAGAGAGGAGCUUGCUCUUCUUGGAUGAGUUGCGAACGGGUGAGUAACGCGUAGGUAACCUGCCUUGUAGCGGGGGAUAACUAUUGGAAACGAUAGCUAAUACCGCAUAACAAUGGAUGACACAUGUCAUUUAUUUGAAAGGGGCAAUUGCUCCACUACAAGAUGGACCUGCGUUGUAUUAGCUAGUAGGUGAGGUAACGGCCCACCUAGGCGACGAUACAUAGCCGACCUGAGAGGGUGAUCGGCCACACUGGGACUGAGACACGGCCCAGACUCCUACGGGAGGCAGCAGUAGGGAAUCUUCGGCAAUGGGGGCAACCCUGACCGAGCAACGCCGCGUGAGUGAAGAAGGUUUUCGGAUCGUAAAGCUCUGUUGUAAGUCAAGAACGAGUGUGAGAGUGGAAAAUUCACACUGUGACGGUAGCUUACCAGAAAGGGACGGCUAACUACGUGCCAGCAGCCGCGGUAAUACGUAGGUCCCGAGCGUUGUCCGGAUUUAUUGGGCGUAAAGCGAGCGCAGGCGGUUUGAUAAGUCUGAAGUUAAAGGCUGUGGCUCAACCAUAGUUCGCUUUGGAAACUGUCAAACUUGAGUGCAGAAGGGGAGAGUGGAAUUCCAUGUGUAGCGGUGAAAUGCGUAGAUAUAUGGAGGAACACCGGUGGCGAAAGCGGCUCUCUGGUCUGUAACUGACGCUGAGGCUCGAAAGCGUGGGGAGCGAACAGGAUUAGAUACCCUGGUAGUCCACGCCGUAAACGAUGAGUGCUAGGUGUUGGAUCCUUUCCGGGAUUCAGUGCCGCAGCUAACGCAUUAAGCACUCCGCCUGGGGAGUACGACCGCAAGGUUGAAACUCAAAGGAAUUGACGGGGGCCCGCACAAGCGGUGGAGCAUGUGGUUUAAUUCGAAGCAACGCGAAGAACCUUACCAGGUCUUGACAUCCCGAUGCUAUUUCUAGAGAUAGAAAGUUACUUCGGUACAUCGGUGACAGGUGGUGCAUGGUUGUCGUCAGCUCGUGUCGUGAGAUGUUGGGUUAAGUCCCGCAACGAGCGCAACCCCUAUUGUUAGUUGCCAUCAUUCAGUUGGGCACUCUAGCGAGACUGCCGGUAAUAAACCGGAGGAAGGUGGGGAUGACGUCAAAUCAUCAUGCCCCUUAUGACCUGGGCUACACACGUGCUACAAUGGUUGGUACAACGAGUUGCGAGUCGGUGACGGCAAGCUAAUCUCUUAAAGCCAAUCUCAGUUCGGAUUGUAGGCUGCAACUCGCCUACAUGAAGUCGGAAUCGCUAGUAAUCGCGGAUCAGCACGCCGCGGUGAAUACGUUCCCGGGCCU
rnacentral:rRNA from 1 species